rnacentral:rRNA from 1 species
UACAGAGGGGGCAAGCGUUGUUCGGAAUUACUGGGCGUAAAGGGCGCGUAGGCGGCCUGUUAAGUCGAACGUGAAAUCCCUAGGCUCAACCUAGGAACUGCGUCCGAUACUGGCAGGCUUGAAUCCGGGAGAGGGAUGCGGAAUUCCAGGUGUAGCGGUGAAAUGCGUAGAUAUCUGGAGGAACACCGGUGGCGAAGGCGGCAUCCUGGACCAACACUGACGCUGAGGAGCGAAAGCCAGGGGAGCAAACGGG